AUAAAAAAAUAAAAAAAAAAUAAUAAUAAUAAUAAUAAUACUCUAUACUAAGCCAUGUCUGCAUCUCUGUAGGAGUUGAGGCUGAGCUCAAGGGAAAUGUGAGAGCCACCGCCAUAACCGCUACCUCCCUCGGAAGUAGUCUUCAUGAUGCCCAAGAUGUCCUCACCAUGCAUGGGGAACAAUGGAAGGGUUUCAAUCUCCUGGUGAUCUCCUCCUCGUUGUUGCAGGGAUGUUUGUCCUCCUGUUGUGCCAAAAGAGUUGUACUGGUAUUAGUGUUGAAGUGUGAGGAAGAAUAUGAAACAAAAUUUAAAUCAAGAAAUCCUUCAUUACCAGUAGAAUCGGUGGAACCAAAGUUGAGAUUAAUGGAUCUACCAUCAUCAGUAGAACUAGUGGACCCAAAAUUGAUGUCAAUGGAUCCACCAGCUGGCCCAAAAUUGAUGUCGAUGGAUCCACCAGCACCAGUAGAACCAGUGGACCCAAAAUUGAGAUCAAUGGAUCCACCAGUACCAGGAGAACUAGUUCCCAUGGGCACUUGAGCAGCCUGAUUGCACCUCUUCAUCUGCUUCUCUCGAGCCCUGACAUUCUGGAACCAAAAAUAAAUGUUCUUGCCCUCAACAUGUCCAUACUGGUUCAGCUGGAGACAGAUCUCGUGAAUAUGCUCUGUAGUUGGGCGCUUAACUCCCUUGUCGUAGUAAAGAUCCUUGAGGAUCCUUAUUUGAUCUGGAGUAGGAACCCACCUGGCACGGCUUCGCCAGAAAUCUGUGUUGGCACUACUCCCGGCUGCUUGGUUGUUUCCUCCAUCCUCGAUUUGUUGCUGGGUUUGUAGCUCCAUCAGUUGCAGAGUUCGUGGUUCCAUGGUGAUGGGUUGAGGGGAUGUGAAGAUCGAAGAGUAAAGUUGUCAAGUGUUUGAAGGAGUUGUUGUUAAAGGGAUUAAGGAUGAUGAUGGUGUGUUGGAGAUCUGAAAGUUCAGAGGAAAGAUGAGAUUGAAUCAACUAGAUGGGAGAGAAGAUCAGAAGAGAAGGAUUGAAUCGAAGAAGAAAUAUUUUGAGUUUUGAAAGAAGAGGAAAAGCUGAAGAGUUGGGAGAGAGGGGCUGGAACUCAGGAGAGAUUUUCGUUCCUUUGGAGUGAACAGUUGCGCCCUCAGAAUGCACCUAUUUAUAGAGCGAGGUGAGCAGAUCUCCACCGUUGGAUGGACGAUUCCUGUGAUUCAUUCUACGCGUUGGAUUAAAGUCGCCCUGAAACCCGGAAAAGUUGUUGGCGCGUGGAGAGCGUGUAAGGGGACCGAGGGAAUCUCGAGGCGCUGUGGCAGACAGCUGUAGCCGAAAGCAGAUUUGACUGCCGUAAAUCACGGAAGGGAUAAGCCGUGACACAAGUGGGCCGUACUUGGGCCUGUCUCGGAUCAAGGCAUCACUGUAGCUGUGGGUGGAGGCCUGAUGGGCCGAGUUUCAGAAACAGUUUUGGACAUGAUGGGCCGAGUUUCUGAAACAGUUUUGGAUGAGUUGGGCUGGGUUUCUGCAACAGUCUUGGAUGUUUUGUGCCGAAUUGUUGAAACAGUUGAAACAGUUGGUUUAAAUAAAAGGAUUGGUAUGGAUAAUAACGUGAGCAGCCGUGCUCGAGUGGUUGAGUGUAAAGUUCGUGUACAAGAGGUCUGAGGUUCGAACCUCGCCUCUCGUUUAUUUUUAUUAUGUUCGUUUAUGACAUAAUAAGUAUAAAAUUUGUACACAUUAUAUUAAGCACAGCUUGUGCUCCAGUGGUUGGGGACAAAGGUUUCGUGCAGCAAGUUAAGGUUUCGAACCUUGCCUCCCCCGUUUUUUUUUAUUUAUGUCACUCCAUCAGAACCCUCCUCCGAAGGCUGAAACCAGCAAGAAGGCUGCCACUCGCCCGCAUACCGCUCCUCCAAAGGAGUAAAUGGAGGUACAAGUCUAGGCUGAAAGACUUUAAACAUUAAGCGCUGCAUGGGAGGCAACCCAUUUCAACCGUAGCUGUGGAGGAGCCAUCAACGCAGAUUUGCUCUCUUAAACUCUAUCUCCUCUAUUACUAUUUUCUGAUUGUAUCUUUGUUAUUUGCGUUUUUAGUUUUUGUUUUUAGGUUUUCUUGAGUUAAUCAUUCCAUUCACAUGAUAAUUGUUCAUUGCAUGCUCUAACUUGUUUAACAUUGAGGACAAUGUAUGAUUUAAGUGUGGGGGGAAGGAUUAAUGCUUGUAGUUAGUUUUUGUCAUAAAAAGAAAAAAAAAAAAAAAAAAAAAAAAAUCGAAAAAUGUCAGAAAAAUAAAAAAUUUUCGUUGCUUUUGUUUUUGUUUUGAGUCUUAGGAUGCCUUUCAACUGUCUGGGAUGAUUCUAUAUCUCUGAAAUCAUGACUAAAAGAGGAUCACAACAUUGAGAUGAUUUUAACAUGGUAUUCUUUGGUUAAUUGAGAUAUAUGAAAAAUGUAUGCACUUGUAGUGGAUAUGGAUUGCAUGACCUUGGUACAGAAUAUGAGCAUGUUAAGAUGAGUUGUGAUUCAUAAAAUCUAUGUGAGAUAAUUGAACCAUGUCCCUUUUUCUUGGAGUGAAAUGAAAAAUAUAUUCUUAAUUUCUUGGCGAUGUUUUGAUGAUCUCAUUAUUCUUUCAUCUUGAUUGACUGCUUGCCAUAGAUUAAGUUUAAUUGACUAGAGAAUGCUAGAAUUCGCUCUUGUGCUUGUUGAGACGUGAUAUCAAUACAUGGCCCUGAUUCUGGAAGGGAUAGAGGUUCUCUAGGAAUUACCACCAUUGCCAAAUAAACUUGUGUCCCCAUUUGUGCCCGUCGUGGGACCCCCCUAGAUAAGCCCCUUUGAGCCUACUUUGAGCCUUUUCGUUCAUCACCCUUAAAAUCCUUAACCAUGAAGCUUAGUAUAGUUACAACCCUACCCUUUGUUCUAAGGACUUAGUGGAGCUAUCUUUUGAGACAUACUACAUGGGUUUGGUGCUAAGGAUGAAGAUUGAGAAGAGGUGAAAGUUCAAGUGUGGGGAUAGACUUGUCCAUAAAGAAAAAGAUAUGUUGAAGCCGUGAAAAAUGAAAAGAAAAGAGAAAAAUUGUGUACGGCUAAAAAGAAAAAGAAAAAAAAUAUAUAUAUAUGUUUAUGGACUUUCAUCCCCCAUACUUAGUGAUUUUGGAGUUUGCUUUGAAUUGAAGGCCCACUACAGAAAAAUUUGGCCUUUGUCCAUUUCACUAGAGUUCAAGGGAAGUUUAUAUUGAAGAUUGGGCCCAACAUGAAGACAUUUGGCCCUCUUAUAUUACCUCUAUGGGGAAGUGACGUUUUUGCAAUGCCUUGGUGAAAUAUUUCGAGAUCUCUACAUUCAUAUGAGCUCUAAUAGGUUUUUAGGACACUUUGAUAAUCCUUACCUUUCAUUUCUUUAAACCUUGAGCCUUAGCCCCAUUACAACCUUUGAGAGGACCUUCUUGAUCCUUAAGAUGGGACAGCCUUUGAUGUGGAGAUGAGUUACAAGAGUUGAACCUAUGGCUUGGGUCCAUUCGUGCAAGUAGUUGAUAUCCUUCAUGAGAUCUUUUGAAAAAAAAAAAUUAUAUUCACAAAGUGCUUUUCGUUUCUUAUAUAUGUGAGCUAUUUGACUGCCUUAAAAUAUGUUCUCUCACAUAUAAAUGAGUGAUUAUAAGCUUUUAAGCAUUGCCUUGAUCUGAGAGAAGAAAAAGUGGAUAUACCUUGUGAGGAUAUGAAUCAUACUUGUCUGAAGCAUGCUAAGCUAAACCCCAAUCACCAUUAUUACAACCAAGUCCUACUUGUGUAUGUGUGGAUCAUAUGUUUUAAUUAACUCUCGAAUGCUUAACAUUGAUUCUUGGUUGAGUGCUAAUCUUGGUGUUGUGAAAGUAAGAGAUUUCUGAGACAAUAUGUUAAAGGGCAAUAGAGGUCUUUGUGAUGUCAACAUCUUGGUCUUUGUCUUUGAAUUUACUCUUUUAUGUGUGACGUUUUUUUUUUUCUUUGUGUUUUGCUUUGUGUUUUACGUUUUUGGUUUCUUUGAGUCUUUGUGUUUUUGUUUCCAUACUUAGUCAUUUUUUUCGUUGGUUUCUUUGUUUUGUGUCAUAGUCUUUUUGGUUUGUUAGUUUUUGAUUUUGCUAAGGGACUAGCAAAAGCUAAGUGUGGGGGAAUUUGAUAGGAGCAUUUUAAUGUGGUAUUUUAAUAGUUAAUUCCUCACAUUUUGCUUAGUUAAUUCCUUAACGAAUCGAUUUUUAACUCAAUUUCUAUUUUCUUACGUACAUUGGAGUAAAUGAUGGUGAAAUGAGCAUUAGGUCCACACUUACCUAUAAAUGGUGGAGAAAAAUGGAAAUGUACUAAGAUGUCAAUUUUACACAUUUUCCUACUCCGGCUAGGAAAAACCAAGCCAAGCAAGGAAGAAGGAGCGGCCGCCGGACCAAAUGAACUUCAAAUGAGCUGAAACUUUCUAGAUCCAUUCUAGACAUCCUAAGGAUCGUUUCUUAUGAAGAGUGCCAGAGCUAGAAUUGAGCGGAAGGCCUUCAAACAGUCAGCCCAAUUUCCUGCAGAAGCAAAACUGGAAAACUGGACCUGUAAGAGGUCCAGCAGCAUUUUCGGCCCAACCACAUGGAAUAAAAAUAUGAAAUUUUACCAGGGUGAUCUACACUCAUAAUGGAACAUUUUUUAUGAAGAGGUCAUAGUGAAAUUGGGAAUGCUUGUUGGAGAAAUAAUUGAAGGAAUAAAGGGGCAGAAACUGAUCUAAAAACAGCUCAACAUCACAUGUUCAUGUUUCCUACCCACAUGAAGAAAGCUAGAUGCUUUUCUCUUUUUCCUUGGAUAUAUUUUUCUGCUCCAAUAGAUCAUCAUCACUUCCAUACUUCUGCACAUUCAUGCCUUGCUUUCAUUUCAUCAUUACUCCAUCUUUUCCAUAUUUUACAAACCACUUUCAUUAUUUUUCUUCCAUUUAUCAUUUCACUCUUCUUUUUCAUCCCUAUAUAAACACCUUCUCCUCUCACUCUAAAAACAUUCCUUCAUCCAUUUCAUCUUCUUUGUCUCUCCAUUUCCAUUCCAUUUUUCUCUCCAUUCUCUAGUUGCAAAAUUCUGCGUUUUCAAGUAAGAAGAAGAAGAAGAAGAAGGAGCCGGGAAUAUCAUAUCCUCCAUCGUCCACCUUGAAGGCUUGCUUCCAAGAUUCAAGAUUUCAACGUUUCAAGCACUCCAUCUCCAUCUCCAACUCACGGUGUGUACCCUCAAUCCCCGGAAUAGAACGAUCCCUAUUUGCUUAUACUACUAACGAUGUUUUCAGGGUUAAAUUAUGCGCUUGCUUUGAGCGUAUCACAAUCUCACAUAAGCAACAUAAAAAUCAACAUAAAGAAAUCACAAUUUUUAUUCAAACAUAGAAAUUGGGCUUAAACUUUGCCCUUAAUGUUAUUGUUAACUAGAAACAAAUUCCUACGAAAUUAAAUAAGGAAAAAGAAUGAAUUACACCGUGAGUUGGAGAUGGAGAUGGAGUGCUUGAAACGUUGAAAUCUUGAAUCUUGGAAGCAAGCCUUCAAGGUGGACGAUGGAGGAUAUGACAUUCCCGGCUCCUUCUUCUUCUUCUUCUUCUUACUUGAAAACGCAGAAUUUUGUAACUAGAGAAUGAAGAGAAAAAUGGAAUGGAAAUGGAGAGACAAAGAAGAUGAAAUGGAUGAAGGAAUGUGUUUAGAGUGAGAGGAGAAGGUGUUUAUAUAGGGAAGAAAAAGAAGAGUGAAAUGAUAAAUGGAAGAAAAAUAAUGAAAGUGGUUUGUAAAAUAUGGAAAAGAUGGAGUAAUGAUGAAAUGAAAGCAAGGCAUGAAUGUGCAGAAGUAUGGAAGUGAUGAUGAUCUAUUGGAGCAGAAAAAUAUAUCCAAGGAAAAAGAGAAAAGCAUCUAGCUUUCUUCAUGUGGGUAGGAAACAUGAACAUGUGAAUAUUGAGCUGGUUUUAGGUCAAUUUCUGCCCCUUUAUUCCUUCAAUUAUUUCUCCAACAGGAAUUCAUUUUUGGCUCUUGACUUCUUCAUAUGAAAUGAUCUACCAUGAGUGUAGAUCAUUUUGGUAAAAUUUCAGAAUUUAUUUCCAUGCCUUUGGGCCAGAAUCUCUGCUGGACUCCUUACGGGUCCAGUUUUCCAGUUUUGCUUCUGCAGGAAAUUGGGCUAACUGUUUGAAGGCCUUCCGCUCAAUUCUAGCUCUGGCACUCUUCAUAAGAAACGAUCCUUAGGAUAUCUAGAAUGGAUCUGGAAAGUUUCAGCUUAUUUGGAGUUCAUUUGGUCAGGCGGCCGCUCCUUCUUCCUUGCUUGGCUUGGUUUCUCCUAGCCGGAGUAGGAAAAUGUGUAAAAUUGACCUUUUAGUACAUUUCCAUUUUUUCUCCAUCAUUUAUAGGUAAGUGUGGACCUAAUGCUCAUUUCACCAUCAUUUACUCCAAUGUACCUAAGAAAAUAGAAAUUGAGUUAAAAAUCGAUUCGUUAAGGAAUUAACUAAGCAAAAUGUGAGGAAUUAACUAUUAAAAUACCACAUUAAAAUGCUCCUAUCAAAUUCCCCCACACUUAGCUUUUGUUAGUCCCUUAGCAAAAUCAAAAACUAACAAACCAAAAAGACUAUGACACAAAACAAAGAAACCAACGAAAAAAAUGACUAAGUAUGGAAACAAAAACACAAAGACUCAAAGAAACCAAAAACGUAAAACACAAAGCAAAACACAAAGAAAAAAAAACGUCACACAUAAAAGAGUAAAUUCAAAGACAAAGACCAUGAUGUUGACAUCACAAAGACCUCUAUUGCCCUUUAACAUAUUGUCUCAGAAAUCUCAUACUUUCAAGUCACCAAGAUUAGCACUUAACCAAGAAUCACAUCAUCAAGAUAUUCAAGA